GGAUUAGAUACCCUGGUAGUCCACGCCGUAAACGAUGAUAACUAGCUGCCGGGGCACAUGGUGUUUCGGUGGCGCAGCUAACGCAUUAAGUUAUCCGCCUGGGGAGUACGGUCGCAAGAUUAAAACUCAAAGGAAUUGACGGGGGCCUGCACAAGCGGUGGAGCAUGUGGUUUAAUUCGAAGCAACGCGCAGAACCUUACCAACGUUUGACAUCCUCAUCGCGAUUUCCAGAGAUGGAUUUCUUCAGUUCGGCUGGAUGAGUGACAGGUGCUGCAUGGCUGUCGUCAGCUCGUGUCG
rnacentral:rRNA from 1 species